UAAAACGUAGGGGGCGAGCGUUGCUCGGAAUCACUGGGUCUAAAGGAUGCGUAGGCGGAUCGGCAAGUCGAGUGUGAAAGCUCCGGGCUUAACCUGGAAAUUGCGCUCGAUACUGCCGGACUCGAGUGGAGCAGAGGGAAACGGAAUUCCCGGUGUAACGGUGGAAUGUGUAGAUAUCGGGAGGAACGCCGAUAGCGCAGGCAGUUUCCUGGGCUCCUACUGACGCUCAGGCAUGAAAGCGUGGGUAGCGAACAGGAUUAGAUAUCCUGGUAGUCCACGCCGUAAACGAUGGGUGCUAGUUGUCGGGGGGGAAUUACCCUCGGUGACGUAGUUAACGCGUUAAGCACCCCACCUGGGGAGUACGGCCGCAAGGUUG
rnacentral:rRNA from 1 species